GAAGAGGUGGAGUCCAGGCACAGGGCGUCGUGCUGCACGCAGAGGCUCCCAGUUCCCGACUUCGAGGUAGAGCAGCCUGGAAAAUGGACUCUUCAGGAAACAACCAGACUUGUGAGGGCAGGAACAUCGGACCUUUCUUUCCUGUGCCCCCCGUGACCCCGCAGCCUCUCCUGGGUCCCUGGUUCCAGAAUCCCACCUAUAAUCCACUCUCCAUUCCAGGGGCAGGUUUCACAAAUGGAAGUCUGUAUUUUCCAUGUCCCAUGGUGUUCAUUGAGUAUCCUGGCUUCCUCGUCCCUCAGUCCCCAUUGCCCACUGCUCUUAACCAAAGACCCAUAGUCCCUCUGUUUUAUAGCAUGGCACCACAAUACGGUGGCCACUGCGAAAGAAUGAAAACAAAAGACAC
ensembl:lncRNA